GUGCACGCUGGCGGUAGGCCUCACACCUGCCAGUCGAACGGCAGCACAGUAAGAGCUUGCUCUUACGGGUGGCGAGUGGCGGACGGGUGAGGAAUACAUCGGAAUCUACUUUUUCGUGGGGGAUAACGUAGGGAAACUUACGCUAAUACCGCAUACGACCUACGGGUGAAAGCAGGGGAUCUUCGGACCUUGCGCGAUUGAAUGAGCCGAUGUCGGAUUAGCUAGUUGGCGGGGUAAAGGCCCACCAAGGCGACGAUCCGUAGCUGGUCUGAGAGGAUGAUCAGCCACACUGGAACUGAGACACGGUCCAGACUCCUACGGGAGGCAGCAGUGGGGAAUAUUGGACAAUGGGCGCAAGCCUGAUCCAGCCAUACCGCGUGGGUGAAGAAGGCCUUCGGGUUGUAAAGCCCUUUUGUUGGGAAAGAAAAGCAGCAGGUUAAUACCCCGCUGUUCUGACGGUACCCAAAGAAUAAGCACCGGCUAACUUCGUG
rnacentral:rRNA from 1 species